rnacentral:rRNA from 1 species
UACGGAGGGGGCAAGCGUUAUUCGGAAUUAUUGGGCGUAAAGGGCUCGUAGGCGGUUUGUCACGUCGGGAGUGAAAACUCAGGGCUCAACCCUGAGCGUGCUUCCGAUACGGGCAGACUAGAGGUAUGCAGGGGAGAACGGAAUUCCUGGUGUAGCGGUGAAAUGCGCAGAUAUCAGGAGGAACACCGGUGGCGAAGGCGGUUCUCUGGGCAUUACCUGACGCUGAGGAGCGAAAGUGUGGGGAGCGAACAGG